rnacentral:rRNA from 1 species
AACGUAGGGGGCAAGCGUUAUCCGGAAUUACUGGGUGUAAAGGGUGAGUAGGCGGCAUGGUAAGCCAGAUGUGAAAGCCCGCAGCUUAACUGCGGGACUGCAUUUGGAACUACUAAGCUAGAGUACAGGAGAGGUAAGCGGAAUUCCUAGUGUAGCGGUGAAAUGCGUAGAUAUUAGGAAGAACACCGGUGGCGAAGGCGGCUUACUGGACUGAAACUGACGCUGAGGCACGAAAGCGUGGGGAG